rnacentral:lncRNA from 1 species
GUUGAAGUUUCUUGGUCUGAAAAGUAUAAUAACUGAAGUAAAUAGUAGUCUGGUGCACGAGUAGAAUGUAUACAAAAAUCAAAUUAGUGAGCUGGAAGAUUAGGCUGAAGAACUCUCCCAGAAAUAAUCAAGAAGGAAUAUAGAGUUGAGAAAACAUGAAAGACAAGUUUAAAAAUAUGGAGGAAAGAAAUAAUAAUAUCACUAUCUAUAUUUUAAAAAUUCCAGAAAGGUAGUGUAAAAAAUCCAGUGAAAAGUGGAGAAGCAAUACGUUAUUUUCAAGUACACAUGAAACCCAAAAAUAGACUACAUACUGAGUCACAAAGGAAAUCUCAGCAACUUUCAAAUUCAUCAUUUAAAUGUAAAUUGCAAUGAAAUUGCAAAAUAUUUGACAAUGAAUAACAAUGAAAGUACUUUAUAUCAAACAUUAGGGAAUGCCACCAAAUUAUAUUGAGAGGGAAAUAUGUAACUGUACAUGCAGCUAUUAAAUAGCAGUGAAAAUUAAGACUAAAUGUGCUAGGUGUCCAAGUCAAGAAUAGGAAGAGAAUAGCACAGUAAACCUGGAAAAAGUAGAAAUCAAGAAAUCACAAAUGGAAAAGAUACUAAUAGGAGGUAAAACAAAGAAACAAUAGAGAUGAUCAACAGAAUAAAACCUAACUCUUAGAGCACACUGAAAGUGGGCAACGUUCUAGUACAUUUGAUCAAGGGGAAAAGAAAAUACAGAAGCGAUUAAUUUUCAAAAUGAAAAAGGGUAUAUCACAUCUGACACCAGGAAGAUUUUUUAAAGAUUAUUUGGGGAAUAAAACAGGAUACACAUCUGAAUUGGUGUUCUCAUGAAAGAACACUAGAGUAACUUUAUGCCAACACAUUUGCAAAGUUUGACACAGAGGACAUAUUUUUGUGGUAUAUAACAACACAAUUGAUGAGAAGAUAAAUUUUAAAAACCCAAAUAAAAAAGUAAUUAUUCUCUGCAUAGUUAUUUCUUUCCAAAGAAUACAGCAUGGAAAAGGAGAAAGAUUAACUUCCAAAGUGGAAAAGGCUGGCAAACACUACCUCAGCUAGAUGAUCAAGAUCAACACUAGCAGUGAAAAUUGUAAUGUGUACCCUUGAUAUGAUGUGAUGAAAAUGGCAUUUUACUUCUGUGGUCCUUCUCCCCCAGUUCAAAAAACCCGGUCUAACAAUGAGAAAAACACCAGAUAAUUCCCAAUUGAGGGAUACUGUUUAUAAAAUACCUGACCAUGAGCAGUGGUUUGUAGUUCUCCACAUGUGCAGAACAUAGAUAUACACGUACCAUGGUGGUUUGCUGCACUCAUCAUCCCACCAUCUACAGUAGGUAUUUCUCCUAAUGCUAUCCCUCCCCACUCCCCCCAGCCCCCGACAGGCCCAGGUGUGUGAUUUUCCCCUCCCUGUGUCCAUGUGUUCUCAUUGUUCCACUCCCACUUAUGAGUGACAACAUGCAGUAUUUGGUUUGUGUUAGUUUGCUGAGAAUGAUGGUUUCCAGCUUCAUCUAUGUCCCUGCAAAGGACACGAACUCAUCCUUUUGAUGGCUGCAUGGUAUUCCAUGGUGUACAUGUGCCACAUCUUCUUUAUCCAGUCUAUUAUUGAUGGACAUUUGGGUUGGUUCCAAGUCUUUGCUAUUGUGAAUAGUACUGCAAUAUACAUAUGUGUGCAUGUGUCUUUAUAGUAGAAUGGUUUAUAUUCCUUUGGGUAUAUACCCAGUACUGGGCUUGCUGGGUCAAAUGGCAUUUCUAGUUCUAGAUCCUUGAGGAAUCGCCACACUGUCUUCCACAAUGGUUGAACUAAUUUACACUCUCACCAACAGUGUAAAAUAAUUCCUACUUCUCCACAUGCUCUCCAGCAUCGGAUGUUUCCUGACAUUUUAAUGAUCGCCAUUCUAACUGGCAUGAGAUCGUGGUUUUGUGGUUUUGAUUUGCAUUUCUCUAAUGACCAGUGAUGAUGAGCAUUUUUUAAUGUUUGUUGGCUGCAUAAAUGUCUUCUUUUGAGAAGUGUCCAUUCAUAUCCUUUGCCCACAUUUUGAUGGGGUUGUUUGUUUUUUUCUUGUAAAUUUAAGUUCUUUGUAGAUUCUGGAUAUUAGCCCUUUGUCAGAUGGAUAGAUUGCAAAAAUUUUCUCCCAUUCUGUAGGUUUCCUGUUCAUUCUGAUGAUAGUUUCUUUUGCUGUGCAGAAGCUUUUUAGUUUAAUUAGAUCCCAUUUGUCAAUUUUGACUUUUGUUGCCACUGCUUUUGGUGUUUUAGUCAUGAAGUCUUUGCCCAUGCCUACAUCCUGAAUGGUACUGCCUAGGUUUUCUUCUAGUGUUUUUAUAGCUUUAGGUCUUACAUUUAAGUCUUUAAUUCAUCUUGAGUUACUUUUUGUAUAAGGUGUAAGGAAGGGGUCCAGUUUCAGUUUUCUGUAUAUGGCUAGGCAGUUUUCCCAACACCAUUUAUUAAAUACGGAAUCCUUUCCCCAUUGCUUGUUUUUGUCAGGUUUGUCAAAGAUCAGAUGGUUGUAGAUGUGUGGCGUUAUUUCUGAGGCCUGUGUUCUGUUCCAUUGGUCUAUAUAUCUGUUUUGGAUACCAGUUCCAUGCUGUUUUCAUUACUGUAGCCUUGUAGUAUAGUUUAAAGUCAGGUAGCAUGAUGCCUCCACCUUUGUUCUUUUUGCUUAAGAUUGUCUUGGCUAUAUGGGCUCUUUUUUGGUACCAUAUGAAACUUAAAGUAGUUUUUUUUUUAAUAAUUCUGUGAAGAAAGUCUGUGGUAGCUUGAUGGGGAUAGCAGUGAAUCUAUAAAUUACUUUAGGCAGAAUGGCCACUUUCAUGAUAUUAAUUCUUCCUAUUCAUGAGCAUGGAGUGUUUUUCCAUUUUUUUGUGUCCUCUCUUAUUUUCUUGAGCAGUGAUUUGUAGUUCCCCUUGAAGAGGUCCUUCAUAUCCCUUUUAAGUUGUAUUGCUAGGCAUUUUAUUCUCUUUGCAGCAAUUGUGAAUGGGAGUUCACUAAUGUUUUGGCUCUCUAUUAUUGGUGUAUAAGAAUGCUUGGGAUUUUUGCACAUUGAUUUUGUAUCCUGAGACUUUGCUGAAGUUGCUUAUCAGCUUAAGGAGAUUUUGGGCUGAGAUGAUGGGGUUUUCUAAAUAUACAAUCAUGGCAUCUGCAAACAGAGACAAUAUGACUUCCUCUCUUCCUGUUCGAAUACCUUUAUUUCUUUCUCUUGCCUGAUUUCCCUGGCCAGAACUUCCAAUACUACGUUGAAUAGGAGUGGUAAGAGAGGACAUCCUUGUCUUGUGCUGGUUUUCAAAGGGAAUGCUUCCAGCUUUUGCCCAUUCAGUAUGAUAUUGGCUGUGGGUUUGUCAUAAAUUGCUCUUAUUAUUUUGAGAUAUAGUCCAUCAAUACCUAGUUUAUUGAGAGUUUUUAGCAUAAAGGAGUGUUAAAUUUUAUCAAUUGCAUUUCUAAGCAGUAAUAAUAACUUACUAAAAAUGUAAUAGAAAAAUAUCCUAUUUGCUACUGCAUGUACAACAUCUAAAAUUAAAAUAAGAUAUAAAAUAUUUUUAUGGACAUUACAAUAUUGAAGGACAUGAAAGAAGGCAUGAAUAAAUGGAAUAUUAUGUCAUGUUUAUGAACUGGAAGUUCUAAUAUCAUAAAGAUGGUAAUUCCCCCUCAAAUUUUAUCAAAUCUCUAUAAGCUGAUUCUAAAUGUUAUAUGGAAGAGCAAAGGGCCAAAAAUACAUAUCUAAAUCUGCAGAGGAUGAAAAUAAUGGAGCCCACCCUGCCAGAUAUCAAUUUAAAAAAAAAAACUGUAAUUAAGACAGUGUAGCAUUUGCAUAGCUAUAAACAAAUUGACCACUAAGAUAGAAUUAAAAGCGCAGAACUCAAUCUAUUAAUAAAAGCUUGAUAAAUAACAGAAAUUGUCAUGACAUAUUGAUGAAAAAGCAUAAACACUUAAUAAAUGAUUAUUCACACUAUUAAAAAAAAAAACAGGCCGGGCAUAGUGUUUUAUGCCUGUAAUCUCAGCACUUUGGGAGGCUGAGGCAGGCGGAUUCCUUGAGGUCAGGAGUUCAAAACCAGCCUGGCCAACAUGGUGAAACCCCAUCUUUACUAAAAAUACAAAAAUUAGCUGGGCGUGAUGGCGUGCACUUAUAAUCUCAGCUACACAGAGGCUGAGAUUACAGGUGCCUGCCACUGUGCAUGGCUAAGUUUUGUAAUUUUAGUAGAGACGAGGUUUCACCAUCUUGCCCAGUCUCGUCUUGAACUCCUGACCUCGUGAUCCACCUGCCUUGGCCUCCCAAAGUUCUGGGAUUACAGGCAUGAGCCACUGUUGCCGGCCGACUUAACGUUUUUUUAAGAACUAGAUUUUAGUUUUGUUAAUAUUCCCUGUGGUAUAUAAGACAUAUAUUGAGUCUUUGCCCUGGUUCCUGAGACAGAGCUCCAAAAACCCUUAGAAUCUCCUAAUGAUAGGAGUAUCUUUGCCUAUUUAUAAUGAGCCCUUUUUGAGCACAUCUGAGUUUGUGCUAGUGAAGUGAUUCAGGGAGGGGCCCCGAGAUGACCUUAAGAUGGGGGCUACUCACCAGUCUGAAUUUGAAGGCAUGAGAACCAGGAGAGCCAAUGGUGUAGGUUCAGUUCAAAAGCUGGUAGGUUGAAGGUCCAGGAAGAGCCAAUGUUUUGGUUCUACUCUGAAAACAGGACAAAAACCCAUAUCUCAGUGUGAAGGCAUUCAGGCAGGAAGAAUUCUCUCUUACUCAGCGGAGGGUCAGACUUUUGUUCUAUUCAGGCUUUCACAAAUUGGAUGAGGCUCACCUACAUUGG